rnacentral:lncRNA from 1 species
UUUUUACAAAUGGUUCAAUUCCAAUAUGGACCUUGACGUUAUUUUAGGUCUUCAUGGAUGAAUUGAACACAAGUAACUGCUGCGUCUUUAUAUUGAGAACUCCCAACAUCCAGUGAGCUUUGUUGGUUGGCAAAAUUGGCAUCAACACAAUGUCCACAUCAGACCAUGGGAGCUCAAUGGAAUUGUCAUUUAGAAGGCUUGAAUCUUUGAGGACCACAUUUGUAUCUUGCUUGAAUUUAGGAUAGAUGUUCUUAAGCUUGGCCUGAAACAAAGAGUCAGUUGUGGUAGCAACGUAUUUCACAUUUUGGUCGUUUCUUGCCAACUGACGUAUGUAGUAUAAGCAGACAUCCAUAUGCUACCACAAUGUACAAAUAGGUCAUAGCAAGAAAUCCAGUAAGAGUAAAACAUGAGGUGCUAUGACAUGUGACAUGCAUAAUGACAUUGUUCUUGUUCCUGACAUGUUACCUAUGCAUACUAAACUACUUAUUUUAGAUUUGACAUGUGAAUGGUACAAUUGUGACCAAGUGUAGGUGUUGUGUGAAUUGUAUUUAUGCUAUAACCUUGGGCUUGGACAUAUGGCAAAUGAUGACUUCAUAUAACAUGUGACUGUAUCGCUAUUGUUUUGUGAUAGUCCUAAUGUGUGUCAAAGUGAUUUGGUUGUUAAUGCAAAACAAUGUAAUGUGACCAAUAUUAACGUCAUUAAAAGAAUUGAGUCUUUGACUGGAAUAUGUAACCCUUGCAUAUGGUUUGUGACUACGAAUAUGAUAACGAACAGUGACAUUAUCGCCCAUAAUAUAAAUGGAAGUAGUAGACAACAUACCGAGCUACUUAAUGACACUUCCCUUGACACUAGUUUAUACCACCAUGUUUUAUUUCCUACCAUAAACUCCCAACAACGAACGGUGGACGACUGUGAUCAUCUUUAUCAUCGAACUUCUUCCUGCAAGCAAACAAAUAUGAUUCAUUGCUCUGAUAUAAUAAAUUUAAUACCAAUCAUGCUUACUUAUUAUGUG